rnacentral:rRNA from 1 species
AACGAACGCUGGCGGCAUGCCUAACACAUGCAAGUCGAACGAGACCUUCGGGUCUAGUGGCGCACGGGUGCGUAACGCGUGGGAAUCUGCCCUUGGGUUCGGAAUAACAGUUAGAAAUGACUGCUAAUACCGGAUAAUGUCUUCGGACCAAAGAUUUAUCGCCCAGGGAUGAGCCCGCGUAGGAUUAGCUAGUUGGUGAGGUAAAGGCUCACCAAGGCGACGAUCCUUAGCUGGUCUGAGAGGAUGAUCAGCCACACCGGGACUGAGACACGGCCCAGACUCCUACGGGAGGCAGCAGUGGGGAAUAUUGGACAAUGGGCGAAAGCCUGAUCCAGCAAUGCCGCGUGCAGGAAGAAGCAUCUAUGGUGUGUAAACUGCUUUUGUACGGGAAGAAACACUCCUACGUGUAGGAGCUUGACGGUACCGUAAGAAUAAGGAUCGGCUAACUCCGUGCCAGCAGCCGCGGUAAU